AUUGAACGCUGGCGGCAUGCCUUACACAUGCAAGUCGAACGGUAACGGGCCUUCGGGUGCCGACGAGUGGCGCACGGGUGAGAAAUACAUCGGAACGUGCCCGAUCGUGGGGGAUAACGAGGCGAAAGCUUUGCUAAUACCGCAUACGAUCUACGGAUGAAAGCAGGGGACCGCAAGGCCUUGCGCGGACGGAGCGGCCGAUGGCAGAUUAGGUAGUUGGUGGGAUAAAAGCUUACCAAGCCGACGAUCUGUAGCUGGUCUGAGAGGAUGAUCAGCCACACUGGGACUGAGACACGGCCCAGACUCCUACGGGAGGCAGCAGUGGGGAAUUUUGGACAAUGGGCGCAAGCCUGAUCCAGCCAUGCCGCGUGCAGGAUGAAGGCCUUCGGGUUGUAAACUGCUUUUGUACGGAACGAAAAGCCUUCUUUUAAUACAGGAGGGUCAUGACGGUACCGUAAGAAUAAGCACCGGCUAACUACGUG
rnacentral:rRNA from 1 species